GCCCCAUUAGGCCAGUGGUUUAGGCCGUCGGUCCCCGAAACCGAAUGUCGCGAGUUCGAAUCUCGCAUGGGGCU
rnacentral:tRNA from 1 species